GCCUGGGUGGCUCAGAGGUCGAGCAUCUGACUUCGGCUCAAGUCACGAUCUCCCGGUUCGUGGGUUCGAGCCCCGCGUCGGGCU
rnacentral:tRNA from 1 species